CAAUAGGUUAACCAGCAGCACACUUCUCUUCUGGGUGGCGGUCCGUUCGACAGUUUUGUUCGGUAAAAAAGUAAAUUCACUUAAAUCCAGGCAUACGAAUGGGGGAGUUCGUGAAACAAGCAAACAGACGUACCCAGCAAUCUUAGUUCAUACGGAUGGGUCUGCCACACGGCUCCCCCCUUGUGGAACACUCCGGCAGACCAGGCUUGACCCUUUGGCGGGUCAACUUGGGGAUGAC